rnacentral:rRNA from 1 species
UUAGAGUUUGAUCCUGGCUCAGGAUGAACGCUAGCGGCAGGCUUAACACAUGCAAGUCGAGGGGUAACGGGGAAGCUUGCUUCCGCCGACGACCGGCGCACGGGUGCGUAACGCGUAUACAAUCUACCUUGUACUGGGGUAUAGCCUUUAGAAAUGAAGAUUAACCCCCCAUAGUCUCUUAGAGUGGCAUCACUUCUAGAGUAAAGGUUACGGUAUAAGAUGAGUAUGCGUUCUAUUAGUUUGUUGGUGUGGUAACGGCACACCAAGACUACGAUAGAUAGGGGCCCUGAGAGGGGGAUCCCCCACACUGGUACUGAGACACGGACCAGACUCCUACGGGAGGCAGCAGUGAGGAAUAUUGGACAAUGGAGGCAACUCUGAUCCAGCCAUGCCGCGUGCAGGAAGACUGCCCUAUGGGUUGUAAACUGCUUUUAUACAGGAAGAAACACCUCUACGUGUAGAGGCUUGACGGUACUGUAAGAAUAAGGAUCGGCUAACUCCGUGCCAGCAGCCGCGGUAAUACGGAGGAUCCAAGCGUUAUCCGGAAUCAUUGGGUUUAAAGGGUCCGUAGGUGGAUAAUUAAGUCAGAGGUGAAAUCUUGCAGCUCAACUGUAAAAUUGCCUUUGAAACUGGUUAUCUUGAGUUAUUAUGAAGUAGUUAGAAUAUGUAGUGUAGCGGUGAAAUGCAUAGAUAUUACAUAGAAUACCAAUUGCGAAGGCAGAUUACUAAUAAUCAACUGACACUGAUGGACGAAAGCGUGGGUAGCGAACAGGAUUAGAUACCCUGGUAGUCCACGCCGUAAACGAUGGUUACUAGCUGUUUGGACUUCGGUCUGAGUGGCUAAGCGAAAGUGAUAAGUAACCCACCUGGGGAGUACGUUCGCAAGAAUGAAACUCAAAGGAAUUGACGGGGGCCCGCACAAGCGGUGGAGCAUGUGGUUUAAUUCGAUGAUACGCGAGGAACCUUACCAGGGCUUAAAUGUAAGUUGCAUUAGUUAGAGAUAGCUAUUUCUUCGGACCACUUACAAGGUGCUGCAUGGUUGUCGUCAGCUCGUGCCGUGAGGUGUCAGGUUAAGUCCUAUAACGAGCGCAACCCCUGUUGUUAGUUGCCAGCGAGUCAUGUCGGGAACUCUAGCAAGACUGCCAGUGCAAACUGUGAGGAAGGUGGGGAUGACGUCAAAUCAUCACGGCCCUUACGUCCUGGGCUACACACGUGCUACAAUGGUAGGUACAGAGAGCAGCCACUGCGCGAGCAGGAGCGAAUCUAUAAAACCUAUCACAGUUCGGAUCGGAGUCUGCAACUCGACUCCGUGAAGCUGGAAUCGCUAGUAAUCGGAUAUCAGCCAUGAUCCGGUGAAUACGUUCCCGGGCCUUGUACACACCGCCCGUCAAGCCAUGGAAGUUGGAAGUGCCUGAAGUCCGUCACCGUAAGGAGCGGCCUAGGGUAAAGUCGAUAACUAGGGCUAAGUCGUAACAAGGUAACCAAG